AUUGAACGCUGGCGGCAGGCCUAACACAUGCAAGUCGAACGAGUGGCGGACGGGUGAGUAAUGUCUGGGAAACUGCAUGAUGGAUGGGGAUAACUACUGGAAACGGUAGCUAAUACCGCAUACCUUCGGUGGUGCCCAGAUGGGAUUAGCGAGUGGGGGGGGGAAAGGCUCACCUAGGCGCCUAUCCCUAGCCGGUCUGAGAGGAUGACCAGCCACACUGGAACUGAGACACGGUCCAGACUCCUACGGGAGGCAGCAGUGGGGAAUAUUGCACAAGGGGCGCAAGCCUGAUGCAGCCAGGCCGCGUGUAUGAAGAAGGCCUUCGGGUUGUAAAGUACUUUCAGCGGGGAGGCGUUACCCGCAGAAGAAGCACCGGCUAACUCCGUGCCAGCAGCCGCGGUAAUUC
rnacentral:rRNA from 1 species